rnacentral:rRNA from 1 species
AAAUUGAAGAGUUUGAUCAUGGCUCAGAUUGAACGCUGGCGGCAGGCCUAACACAUGCAAGUCGAACGGUAACAGGAAGCAGCUUGCUGCUUCGCUGACGAGUGGCGGACGGGUGAGUAAUGUCUGGGAAACUGCCUGAUGGAGGGGGAUAACUACUGGAAACGGUGGCUAAUACCGCAUAACGUCGCAAGACCAAAGAGGGGGACCUUCGGGCCUCUUGCCAUCAGAUGUGCCCAGAUGGGAUUAGCUUGUUGGUGAGGUAACGGCUCACCAAGGCGACGAUCCCUAGCUGGUCUGAGAGGAUGACCAGCCACACUGGAACUGAGACACGGUCCAGACUCCUACGGGAGGCAGCAGUGGGGAAUAUUGCACAAUGGGCGCAAGCCUGAUGCAGCCAUGCCGCGUGUAUGAAGAAGGCCUUCGGGUUGUAAAGUACUUUCAGCGGGGAGGAAGGUGUUGUGGUUAAUAACCGCAGCAAUUGACGUUACCCGCAGAAGAAGCACCGGCUAACUCCGUGCCAGCAGCCGCGGUAAUACGGAGGGUGCAAGCGUUAAUCGGAAUUACUGGGCGUAAAGCGCACGCAGGCGGUCUGUCAAGUCGGAUGUGAAAUCCCCGGGCUCAACCUGGGAACUGCAUUCGAAACUGGCAGGCUUGAGUCUUGUAGAGGGGGGUAGAAUUCCAGGUGUAGCGGUGAAAUGCGUAGAGAUCUGGAGGAAUACCGGUGGCGAAGGCGGCCCCCUGGACAAAGACUGACGCUCAGGUGCGAAAGCGUGGGGAGCAAACAGGAUUAGAUACCCUGGUAGUCCACGCCGUAAACGAUGUCUACUUGGAGGUUGUGCCCUUGAGGCGUGGCUUCCGGAGCUAACGCGUUAAGUAGACCGCCUGGGGAGUACGGCCGCAAGGUUAAAACUCAAAUGAAUUGACGGGGGCCCGCACAAGCGGUGGAGCAUGUGGUUUAAUUCGAUGCAACGCGAAGAACCUUACCUGGUCUUGACAUCCACGGAAGUUUUCAGAGAUGAGAAUGUGCCUUCGGGAACCGUGAGACAGGUGCUGCAUGGCUGUCGUCAGCUCGUGUUGUGAAAUGUUGGGUUAAGUCCCGCAACGAGCGCAACCCUUAUCCUUUGUUGCCAGCGGUCCGGCCGGGAACUCAAAGGAGACUGCCAGUGAUAAACUGGAGGAAGGUGGGGAUGACGUCAAGUCAUCAUGGCCCUUACGACCAGGGCUACACACGUGCUACAAUGGCGCAUACAAAGAGAAGCGACCUCGCGAGAGCAAGCGGACCUCAUAAAGUGCGUCGUAGUCCGGAUUGGAGUCUGCAACUCGACUCCAUGAAGUCGGAAUCGCUAGUAAUCGUGGAUCAGAAUGCCACGGUGAAUACGUUCCCGGGCCUUGUACACACCGCCCGUCACACCAUGGGAGUGGGUUGCAAAAGAAGUAGGUAGCUUAACCUUCGGGAGGGCGCUUACCACUUUGUGAUUCAUGACUGGGGUGAAGUCGUAACAAGGUAACCGUAGGGGAACCUGCGGUUGGAUCACCUCCUUACCUGAAAGAAGC